GCUUUAGCGCAUAGAUUUCCAUAUCCAGCUUUUGGACAGUAAUAGAGUUGGCUGCAGACAUUCCAGUUGCGACAACUGCACCGACAGUAGCACAAACUAAUGCAACAAUUAUAGCGGUGAGGAACCUUUUGGGUCGGUUGCUCAUCGGAAUAGAACUGGAUACAAAUGGUUUCCGGGCUUGCUCCAAGAUGUUUCGCACACGGUCCUGUGCUCUUUCGAGGUGCAUCUGGUACCAAGUCUGUAACUCAG
rnacentral:lncRNA from 1 species